GAUGAAGAACGUAGCGAAAUGCGAUAACUAAUGUGAAUUGCAGAAUUCAGUGAAUCAUCGAGUCUUUGAACGCACAUUGCGCCCUCUGGUAUUCCGGGGGGCAUGCCUGUCCGAGCGUCAUUGCUGCCCUCAAGCACGGCUUGUGUGUUGGGCCUCCGUCCUCCUCCCGGGGGACGGGCCCGAAAGGCAGCGGCGGCACCGCGUCCGGUCCUCGAGCGUAUGGGGCUUCGUCACCCGCUCUUGUAGGCCCGGCCGGCGCUUGCCGACACAUCAAUCUUUUUUCCAGGUUGACCUCGGAUCAGGUAGGGAUACCCGCUGAACUUAAGCAUAUCAAUAAGCGGAGGA
rnacentral:misc_RNA from 1 species